rnacentral:rRNA from 1 species
CCUACGGGUGGCAGCAGUGAGGAAUAUUGGUCAAUGGCCGGAAGGCUGAACCAGCCAUGCCGCGUGAAGGUCAGUGCCCUAUGGGCGUUAAACUUCUUUUGUGCGGGAGCAAUAAUGGUCACGUGUGGCCAGACGAGAGUACCGUACGAAUAAGCAUCGGCUAACACCGUACCAGCAGCCGCGGUAAUACGGGGGAUGCAAGCGUUAUCCGGAUUUAUUGGGUUUAAAGGGUGCGUAGGCUGUGAGGUAAGUCAGCGGUGAAAUGCCCCCGCUCAACGGGGUGAAGUGCCAUUGAUACUGCCUGGCUGGAAUACGGAUGCCGUGGGAGGAAUGUGUGGUGUAGCGGUGAAAUGCAUAGAUAUCACACAGAACACCGAUUGCGAAGGCAUCUCACGAAUCCGCGAUUGACGCUGAUGCACGAAAGCGUGGGUAUCAAACAGGAUUAGAUACCCUAGUAGUC